rnacentral:rRNA from 1 species
CACCUGAUUCCAUUCCGAACUCAGAAG